rnacentral:lncRNA from 1 species
CUGCUAGCCGCCGGAUCGAGCCACCUGCGGCCGGGAUCUGCCGCCUCCGUCGACCGCCUGUAAGCCCCUUCUUUUUCUCUUUAUUCCGUUGCUAAACAUCCUUGUGUUCUCCCUUUGUUUUGGCCCCAAACCGAGACCACUUUCGAUCUCUUCCUCCCCGUCAGUCGCCGCCGCAACCGCCGGCCGCUGGCGGCCGGCUGACCGUCGACCGAGGGGUGGCUUCCGGCCACCCAGGCCGGCCACCCCGCCGACCCUCUCUCUCUCUUCUGUCUUUCCUUCUUUCCCUGUCCGUGGGGAGUUUGGGGAAGGAGGAGGCCCAUCACGGGCCAAAUUGGGCCCAUUGGGCCCUAUCCAUUGCAGGCCCAACUUGGGCCCAGUCCAGUCCGGUUGGGCCCAGUUGGGCAGUACCUUUGUGGGCCCAACUUGGGCCCAGUUCAGAUCCGAACCCGGAACCCGAACCCGAACCUGGAACCCGGAACCCGGAACCCAAAAUCCGAACCCAUUUGGCCAAUAAAUGGAAUUUUUCAGUUCAGCCCUUGAUAGUAUAUUAUUUCACAAAAAGGUAUUCUGAAAUUUGUAUUUGAUCCCUGUAGGAAAGAUUUAUUACAUAAAGGCCCUCAACUAUAUUUGUUUGGACCUUUUACCUAAGUUUUAUUACGGAACGGUGCUAUGUAAUUAGACAUUGGUCCCUGAAACGAAUUUUUAUUGCAUAAAUGAACAAAUUAGAGGCCAACCUUGGGAGGGCCCUAUUGGGGCCAAGUCUAUGUGGGCCCAUUGGGUCGUGUCUGAUAUGGGCCCUAUCGGGCCACGCUCAUUAUGGACCAACUCUGGGCCCUGUUGGGCCGUGCCCAGUAGUAUUAUUUUUGAAUUUUUGCUUAGCUCUGAAAUUAACAAGGAAUUAAUUAAAUUUAAACAGGUGAACCUGAUCCGCCUAUCUGAAGUAGGGA